UUGUAUUCUUUUGGCCUCCACUGUUCUAAUUGUGGGGUCUUUCACAAUAAUGCAUAAAAUGAAAGCCAUUCAGUCGGCAAUGGUCAGACAACCACAGGGAUGGAUCCACAAAUGACUGACUACAGUUUUUUCAGUUUGUCCACUGAUACCAACUCACAUAC